UACGUAGGGUGCAAGCGUUGUCCGGAAUUAUUGGGCGUAAAGAGCGUGUAGGCGGCCUUGCAAGUCCGUUGUGAAAACUCGAGGCUCAACCUCGAGACGCCGGUGGAAACUGCAAAGCUAGAGUCCGGAAGAGGAGAGUGGAAUUCCUGGUGUAGCGGUGAAAUGCGCAGAUAUCAGGAGGAACACCAACAGCGAAGGCAGCACUCUGGGCCGGUACUGACGCUGAGGAGCGAAAGCAUGGGGAGCGAACAGG
rnacentral:rRNA from 1 species